rnacentral:rRNA from 1 species
AAUGAACGUUGGCGGCGUGGAUUAGGCAUGCAAGUCGUGCGAGAAGUUCUUUUAGCUUGCUUUAAGAACGGACAGCGGCGAAAGGGAGAGUAACGCGUGGUUACGUGCCCCGAGGUCCAGGAUAGCGUUGGGAAACCGGCGGUAAUACUGGAUGAUAUCUUCGGAUCAAAGGUGUGAUUCCGCCUUGGGAUCGGACCGCGUACUAUUAGCUUGUUGGUGGGGUAAUGGCCUACCAAGGCUGCGAUGGUUACCGGGUGUGAGAGCAUGGCCCGGCUCACUGGGACUGAGACACUGCCCAGACACCUACGGGUGGCUGCAGUCGAGAAUCUUCGGCAAUGGACGAAAGUCUGACCGAGCGACGCCGCGUGCGGGAUGAAGGCCCUCGGGUUGUAAACCGCUGUCAGUUGGGAGGAAAGCUUUGUGAAGAGCAAAAGCUUGACCGAUCUUCAGAGGAAGGACGGGCUAAGUUCGUGCCAGCAGCCGCGGUAAU